GAUGAACGCUGGCGGCGUGCCUAAUACAUGCAAGUCGAGCGAACAGACGAGGAGCUUGCUCCUCUGACGUUAGCGGCGGACGGGUGAGUAACACGUGGAUAACCUACCUAUAAGACUGGGAUAACUUCGGGAAACCGGAGCUAAUACCGGAUAAUCUAUUGAACCGCAUGGUUCAAUAGUGAAAGACGGUUUUGCUGUCACUUAUAGAUGGAUCCGCGCCGCAUUAGCUAGUUGGUAAGGUAACGGCUUACCAAGGCAACUAUGCGUAGCCGACCUGAGAGGGUGAUCGGCCACACUGGAACGUAGACACGGUCCAGACUCCUACGGGAGGCAGCAGUAGGGAAUCGUCCGCAAUGGGCGAAAGCCUGACGGAGCAACGCCGCGUGAGUGAUGAAGGUCUUCGGAUCGUAAAACUCUGUUAUUAGGGAAGAACAAAUGUGUAAGUAACUAUGCACGUCUUGACGGUACCUAAUCAGAAAGCCACGGCUAACUACGUG
rnacentral:rRNA from 1 species